AGUAGGGAAUAUUGCUCAAUGGGGGAAACCCUGAAGCAGCAACGCCGCGUGGAGGAUGAAGGUUUUCGGAUUGUAAACUCCUUUUGUUAGAGAAGAUAAUGACGGUAUCUAACGAAUAAGCACCGGCUAACUCCGUGCCAGCAGCCGCGGUAAUACGGAGGGUGCAAGCGUUACUCGGAAUCACUGGGCGUAAAGAGCGCGUAGGCGGGGUAGUAAGUCAGAUGUGAAAUCCUAUGGCUUAACCAUAGAACUGCAUUUGAAACUACUACUCUAGAGUAUGGGAGAGGUAGGUGGAAUUCUUGGUGUAGGGGUAAAAUCCGUAGAGAUCAAGAGGAAUACUCAUUGCGAAGGCGACCUGCUGGAACAUUACUGACGCUGAUGCGCGAAAGCGUGGGGAGCAAACAGGAUUAGAUACCCUGGUAGUCCACGCCCUAAACGAUGAAUGCUAGUUGUUGUGAGGCUUGUCCUUGCAGUAAUGCAGCUAACGCAUUAAGCAUUCCGCCUGGGGAGUACGGUCGCAAGAUUAAAACUCAAAGGAAUAGACGGGGACCCGCACAAGCGGUGGAGCAUGUGGUUUAAUUCGAAGAUACGCGAAGAACCUUACCUAGGCUUGACAUUGAUAGAAUCUGCUAGAGAUAGCGGAGUGCUGGCUUGCCAGAGCUUGAAAACAGGUGCUGCACGGCUGUCGUCAGCUCGUGUCGUGAGAUGUUGGGUUAAGUCCCGCAACGAGCGCAACCYUCGUCCUUAGUUGCUAGCAGUUCGGCUGAGCACUCUAAGGAGACUGCCUUCGUAAGGAGGAGGAAGGUGAGGAUGAUGUCAAGUCAUCAUGGCCCUUACGCCUAGGGCUACACACGUGCUACAAUGGGGUGUACAAAGAGACGCAAUACUGUGAAGUGGAGCCAAUCUCAAAAACAUCUCUCAGUUCGGAUUGUAGUCUGCAACUCGACUACAUGAAGCUGGAAUCGCUAGUAAUCGCAAAUC
rnacentral:rRNA from 1 species